rnacentral:tRNA from 2 species
GGAAUAGUGUUCAUUGGUAAGAUAAGACAAUUGCUAAUUGUUCGGGUGUUAGCAGCCCUUAGGUGUUCGAUUCACCUCUAUUCCG